ensembl:lncRNA
GAGAAGAGAAACACUCCAUAACCUGUAGCAAACGCUCUGGAACCCAAAAAGCAAAGAACAGAACUGUACUGACUGGGAGGGACAGAAGGCACUGAGAUCCCAUCAGAACUGAGGAGCCCUAAGCCAGCUGGUGCGGGGACAGACCGGGUGAGUGUUGGUCAAGCUGGAGUUGGACUCCAUCAGGGAACAUUUGGACUUGGUGAGCCCUGGGAGACGGCAAAGCGUCGGGUGCCAAGGAGAGAGAAGGAACGUGCUGCCGGUGGAUGCGAGAGGCAGCGCCAGCGGGGCGUCCCCCGCUUCAAGGGGCACUUCUCCUGUCUCACCCAGGGCAGCCUCUCUCCCCAUUUCUUUUGGUUGAAUUCUGAAGGCUUUGAUCCAUUGACACACCACAUCUGCCUGGCCAGAGCGAGACAUGGAGGCCAAAGGGAGCUCCUGCUUGGAAAUGGAGGAUGGGAAAGGGUGUCAAGUAAGAGGAACACCCUUGGAAAGCCAAGUGAGCACAAGCGAAAACCAACAACAAGCCCAUAGGACCUCUGCAAGCAUUGGAAUGACCUCAGGGGACAACAGAGCUUGCCAGACAGAGGAAGGAAUAGAUAUUGGCAUCCAUUUACGGGUGUGGGUUCUCGCUGUGUCCACCAAGAGCCUCAGUAGAGUCCUUGCACUGCUCAGCAGGGUCACAACUCUCCAGUGCCACCUUAUGAACACAAGAAAAGGUAAGUAGAGAUUACCUUCUAGUGAGGAUGCAGGAAUCACUCACCCCUUUCCAAGGAUCAGGGCACAUCCCACACUGCAAUCAAGGAGGUCAGGGAAGGCAUCACCAUGUGGUGGGUAAGUCUCCAAUACUAGAAGGAAAGAAGAAACCUUCAAAUCAGGUACUGAACCACAUGGGUUACACAGAAAAACAGAUGUCAAGCUAGAAACCCCAAGUCAUACGACACACUCACUGCAAGCCUGUUUUGGAGUUUACCACUUGAUUUUCCAUCUCACUUGGUCAAACCUUACCAGAAAUCAUUUGGUUUAUUGCAGACCCAGGAUGGAUCAAUAAGCAGCCCGGAAAAAAAAUAAAAAAUAAAAAAACUAAGGCAAACAUCACAUAACAACAGGAAAACAUACUGAACCUGGAUAUAAGAGAACAAACCCAUGUUCUCUGGGAUAAGCAGAAGGCACGGAGAUCCCACCAGAACUGGGGAGCCCUAAAGAUGGCCAAAGGAAGAACACCCGGUGACAGCAAGGUGAGCACAAGCGACAACCAACACCAAGCCCGUAGGACCUCUGCAAGCGUGGGAACGACCUCACAGGUCAGCAGAGCUUGCCAGACAGAGGAAGGAGUGCAUCUUGGCAUCCAUCUCUGGCUGUGGGUUCCUGCGGCAUCCACCAAAUGCCUCCAUAGAGUCCUUGCAGCACUCGAGAGGGUCACAACUCUCCACUGCCUCCUGAUGGACACAAGACAAGGUAAGUAGAGAUCACCUUCUGAUAAUGAAAUACAGCUCUCUUACCCCUUUCUAAGGAUCAGGGCAUGUCCAACGCCGCAACCCAGGGAGGUCAGGAAUGACAACAGCACCUGGUGGUGGAGUCUCCAGUCCUGGAAGGAAAGAAGAAGCCUUCAUGUUUGGUGCUGAACAACACGGGUUAGUAAGUAAGAGUGGACAUUCUAGGAACCCCGAGUCAUGCACAGCACUCACCAGCAGCCUGUUUUGAAGCCUACCUCUUCUCUUGGCAUCACAAUUGGUCAAUGCAGAGCAGUCUGCAUUUGGGUCACUGAAACUCCACCGAGGCGCCAACAGGCAACAUGGAGGACAAGAAGAGAGAGAAGAGAAACACUCCAUAACCUGUAGCAAAUGCUCUGGAAGCCAAAAGGCAAAGAACAGAGCCAUGCUGAUUGGGAGUGACAGAAGGCACCAACAGCCAGCAGUGCUGGGGAGCCCUAAGCCAGCUGGUGCAGGGACAGACCGGGUGAGUGUUGGUCAAGCUGGAGUUGGACUCCAUCAGGGAACAUUUGGACUUGGUGAGCCCUGGGAGACGGCAAAGCAUCGGGUGCCAAGGAGAGAGAAGGAACGUGCUGCCGGUGGAUGCGAGAGGCAGCGCCAGCGGGGCGUCCCCCGCUUCAAGGGGCACUUCUCCUGUCUCACCCAGGGCAGCCUCUCUCCUCAGUUGUUCUGCUCAGGGUCUGGACUCUGCGUACCGUUGGCGCACCACAUCUGCCUGGCCAGAGCGAGACACAGAGGCCAAGGGGAGCUCCUGCUUGGAAAUAGAGGGUGGGAAAGGUGGUGUCAAGUAAGGAGAACACCCUUGGAAAGCCCAGGGAGCAUGAGUACAAACUCACACCAAUUCCAUCGAAUGUCCAGAAGAGCAGGAAUGCUCUCUGGGAGCAACAGACCUUGGCAAACAAGAUCAAGUGUUGAUGUUGGUGUCCAGCGUUGGCUGUGGCUUCCUGCUGUGUCCAUCAAUGUCCUCAGUGGAGUCCUCACAUCUCUUUGAAGAAGUCCUGGUGUCCAGAACCUUCUGCUCAACACUGAACCAAAAACAAGCAGAUCAGCAUCAAGCAAAGAAACAACAACAACUCAGCCCUUCCCAAGCCUCAGCACUCACCCAACCAAACAGCCAGAGCAACCUCUAGGCACAGACCCUUCUCCUUCAGCUGCCAGCCUUUAAAUGAGCUCAGGGUGGGCUCUGGCUCCACCCAGUCCCACUCCACAGGGGAAUUGCUUCCACCUGUGCUCCCUGGGCUGUUCACACCUUAACCAGGUGCUCCAUCACUGCCUCUGGCCCACAGCUAACAGUUCGGACAGAAUCAGAAACAUUAACAGAAUUAGUAACAAAAUACAAGUUGGAAAAAGAAUUAGAAUUGGAAAAAAAAUAGGUAAAGAAUUAUCAAGUAAAGAAGACAUAGAAUUAGUAAAGGAACUGGAAAAAUAAUUGAAAAAGUAUGUA